rnacentral:misc_RNA from 1 species
GAUGAAGAACGUAGCGAAAUGCGAUAAGUGAUGUGAAUUGCAGAAUUCAGUGAAUCAUCGAAUCUUUGAACGCACAUUGCGCCCAUUAGUAUUCUAGUGGGCAUGCCUGUUCGAUCGUCAUUAAUUCCACUUAAGCCCUGCUUAGUGUUGGGAAUCUACUCUAGUGGUGCUACCCUGGAGCUACCCCUGAAAGGGGGCUGGCCCGGUAGCUACCCUGUAGUUCCUCAAAGAUAGUGCGCGGAGUUGCGUGGUCCUCUGAGCUUAGUAACUAUACACCUAGCUUUUGAGUGUCCCGCGGCGCCUGCCGUUUAAACCCCAUCUUUUAAUGGUUGACCUCGGAUCAGGUAGGAAUACCCGCUGAACUUAAGCAUAUCAAUAAGCGGAGGA